rnacentral:misc_RNA from 1 species
AACGCACAUUGCGCCCUCUGGUAUUCCGGGGGGCAUGCCUGUUCGAGCGUCAUUAACAACCCUCAAGCUCUGCUUGGUAUUGGGCCUCGCUGGUUCCGGCGGGCCCCAAAAUCAGUGGCGGUGCCAUCCGGCUUCAAGCGUAGUAAUUCUUCUCGCUGCGGAGCCUGGGUGCGCGCCUGCCAGCAACCCCAACUUUUCAAGGUUGACCUCGGAUCAGGUAGGGAUACCCGCUGAACUUAA